rnacentral:lncRNA from 1 species
AUGACCGUGAGCUUUGGGGUCUCCGGCCUGGGGCCAGGGAGCAGAGCAGAAGGAUUGCCUCCGCUGUGGGGUCAGGCUCCAAGCUCCAGGAAAGUAAAGAGCAGGGCCUGGUGCCCUGCAGGGAGGCAAGGCCGUAUCUCCAUGGUGACCAGGCACACACUGGACUUUUGCUGCACUGGACUGGGGGAAGGGGGACGGUCACACUGGGCCAGGGAGCCCUGGACAACUUUGCCAGGGGCCUCGAUUGUGUCCCCCCGCAGGCCCUCCCCCAGCCCCUCAAGGACCGAGAGUUGGGCCACCUGGUUCCCUAAGUCGAACCCUGAGGGAUCGCCCAGCCCUUUCCGACCCUCCCACCCAUCCUCACUAGCUGUGCGCUCCUUAACAACCCACUUCCAUCUCACGCCUCAGUCUCUCCCUCCUACAGUGCGGAGGACAGGCGCGUCCCCACCCAGCGCCCAGCCCCGGGGCCUGUGGCCGCAGCUCUGGAUGCCUGUCCCCGCGCAUUUUGAAGCAGAAGGAGGCCACCCGGCGGCUGAUGUCAGGGUGCGGGGUGGCCUGCAGGAAGAGGGCCGGGCGCUCACGGGGCCCCAGCCCUCGGCUAGCAGCAGCUCAGACCCCCAGCUGCCCGCUCCGCGAACACCUGCGCGCUGGCCAAGGGCUGCGCAUGGGGGCCGGGGCGGGUACAGCCAGCGGACCCCGCCCCCGCCCCCGCCAGGACAGCUGGCACACGCCGCCCGGCUCCUGGGUCAGGCUGCUGCGGACGGGACCGACCGGCAGGCGCUCAGGCGGGGCGCCCGCACCCCCUGCGCCCGCACCCGCCCGGUUGCUCGGACCUGCCGCUCCAGCUGCAGCGAUGCUCGGAGCAGCCGGGCGGGCGGCGGGGGCAGGAGGCCGGAGCAGAGCGCGCACAGCAGCGCGAGGGGUCCCGUGGUCCCCUGGCGCCCCACGCACCCCUGCGCCCGCCGCACCUCUCCUCUGCGGGGCAGCCCGUGGGGGCCGGGCCCAGGAACUUUCCACCAAUCGCGGCGGUGCGCAUGGGGCAGGAGGCCGAGCCUCCGCGCUGCGGGGUGGGUGUCGCCCCCACGACCCCACAACCCCCGCACCUCCGCCUGCGCCCUGUCCGCCAGCCCUUGA